rnacentral:rRNA from 1 species
UACGUAGGGGGCUAGCGUUGUUCGGAAUUACUGGGCGUAAAGGGCUCGUAGGCGGCCAACUAAGUCGGACGUGAAAUCCCUCGGCUUAACCGGGGAACUGCGUCCGAUACUGGAUGGCUUGAGUUCGGGAGAGGGAUGCGGAAUUCCUGGUGGAGCGGUGAAAUGCGCAGAGAUCAGGAGGAACACCCGUAGCGAAGGCGGCACUCUGGGCCGAUACUGACACUGAGGAGCGAAAGCGUGGGGAGCGAACAGG